GAUGAACGCUAGCGGCAGGCCUAACACAUGCAAGCCGAGGGGCAUCGCGGUGCAGCAAUGCACUGGCGGCGACCGGCGUACGGGUGCGUAACGCGUAUGCAACCUGCCCCGCACCGGGGGAUAGCCCGCCGAAAGGCGGAUUAAUACCCCAUGGUCCCGGGGGCCCGCAUGGGCAUCCGGGUAAAGCCUUGGCGGUGCGGGAUGGGCAUGCGUGCCAUUAGCUGGCUGGUGGGGUAACGGCCCACCAGGGCAACGAUGGCUAGGGGGUCUGAGAAGAUGGUCCCCCACACUGGUACUGAGACACGGACCAGACUCCUACGGGAGGCAGCAGUGAGGAAUAUUGGUCAAUGGGCGGAAGCCUGAACCAGCCAUGCCGCGUGCGGGAUGAAGGCCCUACGGGUUGUAAACCGCUUUUCCCCGGGAAGAAUAACCCCGAUGAGUCGGGUGAUGCCGGUACCGGGGGAAUAAGGAUCGGCUAACUCCGUG
rnacentral:rRNA from 1 species